AAUGAACGUUGGCGGCGUGGAUUAGGCAUGCAAGUCGUGCGGCAGCGGGCCCUUCGGGGUGCCGGCGAGCGGCGAAAGGGAGAGUAACGCGUGGAUAACCUGCCCUUGGGUUUGGGAUAGCAGUGGGAAACUGCAGGUAAUACCAAAUAAUAUCUCCGGAUCAAAGGUGAGAUUCCGCCCGAGGAGGGGUCCGCGUCCUAUUAGCUUGUUGGUGGGGUAAUGGCCUACCAAGCCAAAGAUGGGUACCGGGUGUGAGAGCAUGACCCGGCUCACUGGGACUGAGACACUGCCCAGACACCUACGGGUGGCUGCAGUCGAGAAUCUUCCGCAAUGGACGAAAGUCUGACGGAGCGACGCCGCGUGCGGGAUGAAGGCCUUCGGGUUGUAAACCGCUGUCAGUUGGGAGGAAAUGCAUAAGGGUUCUCUCUUAUGUUUGACCGAUCUUCAGAGGAAGUACGGGCUAAGUACGUGCCAGCAGCCGCGGUAACACGUACCGUACGAACGUUAUUCGGAAUCACUGGGCUUAAAGAGUUCGUAGGCGGUCUGGUAGGUGAGGUGUGAAAUCCCACGGCUCAACCGUGGAAUUGCGCUUCAAACCA
rnacentral:rRNA from 1 species